rnacentral:rRNA from 1 species
CCUACGGGUCGCACCAGAGGGGAAUAUUGCACAAUGGGCGCAAGCCUGAUGCAGCCAUGCCGCGUGUAUGAAGAAGGCCUUCGGGUUGUAAAGUACUUUCAGCGGGGAGGAAGGUGUUGUGGUUAAUAACCGCAGCAAUUGACGUUACCCGCAGAAGAAGCACCGGCUAACUCCGUGCCAGCAGCCGCGGUAAUACGGAGGGUGCAAGCGUUAAUCGGAAUUACUGGGCGUAAAGCGCACGCAGGCGGUCUGUCAAGUCGGAUGUGAAAUCCCCGGGCUCAACCUGGGAACUGCAUUCGAAACUGGCAGGCUAGAGUCUUGUAGAGGGGGGUAGAAUUCCAGGUGUAGCGGUGAAAUGCGUAGAGAUCUGGAGGAAUACCGGUGGCGAAGGCGGCACCCUGGACAACGACUGACGCUCAGGUGCGAAAGCGUGGGGAGCAAACAGGAUUAGAUACCCUCGUAGUC